UACGUAGGGUGCGAGCAUUGUCCGGAAUUAUUGGGCGUAAAGAGCUCGUAGGCGGCCUGUCACGUCGGGUGUGAAAGCCCGGGGCUUAACCCCGGGUCUGCAUUCGAUACGGGCUAGCUAGAGUGUGGUAGGGGAGAUCGGAAUUCCUGGUGUAGCGGUGAAAUGCGCAGAUAUCAGGAGGAACACCGGUGGCGAAGGCGGAUCUCUGGGCCAUUACUGACGCUGAGGAGCGAAAGCGUGGGGAGCGAACAGG
rnacentral:rRNA from 1 species